rnacentral:rRNA from 1 species
GAUGAACGCUAGCUACAGGCUUAACACAUGCAAGUCGAGGGGCAGCGCAGUGUAGCAAUACAUGGGCGGCGACCGGCGCACGGGUGCGUAACGCGUAUCCAACCUUCCCGUUACUCAGGGAUAGCCUUCCGAAAGGGAGAUUAAUACCUGAUGGUGUUGAAAUUCCGCAUGUUAUUUCAACUAAAGAUUUAUCGGUAACGGAUGGGGAUGCGUGACAUUAGAUAGUAGGCGGGGUAACGGCCCACCUAGUCUACGAUGUCUAGGGGUUCUGAGAGGAAGGUCCCCCACACUGGAACUGAGACACGGUCCAGACUCCUACGGGAGGCAGCAGUGAGGAAUAUUGGUCAAUGGUCGGAAGACUGAACCAGCCAAGUAGCGUGAAGGAUGAAGGUUCUAUGGAUUGUAAACUUCUUUUAUACGGGAAUAAAACACCUUACGUGUAGGGUCUUGUAUGUACCGUAUGAAUAAGCAUCGGCUAACUCCGUG